UACGAAGGGGGCUAGCGUUGCUCGGAAUUACUGGGCGUAAAGGGCGCGUAGGCGGAUGUUUAAGUCGGGGGUGAAAGCCCGGGGCUCAACCUCGGAAUUGCCUUCGAUACUGGACAUCUUGAGUACGGGAGAGGUGAGUGGAACUCCGAGUGCAGAGGUGAAAUUCGUAGAUAUUCGGAAGAACACCAGUGGCGAAGGCGACUCACUGGCCCGUUACUGACGCUGAGGCGCGAAAGCGUGGGGAGCGAACAGG
rnacentral:rRNA from 1 species